UGGGGAAUAUUGCACAAUGGGCGCAAGCCUGAUGCAGCCAUGCCGCGUGUAUGAAGAAGGCCUUGGGUUGUAAAGUACUUUCAGCGGGGAGGAAGGCGUUGUGGUUAAUAACCACAGCGAUUGACGUUACCCGCAGAAGAAGCACCGGCUAACUCCGUGCCAG
rnacentral:rRNA from 1 species